GGGCCGCACGAGCACUAGUUCGUCGGGCUCAUAACCCGAAGGUCGUAGGUUCAAAUCCUACCCCCGCCA
rnacentral:tRNA from 1 species